UACGAAGGGGGCUAGCGUUGCUCGGAAUCACUGGGCGUAAAGGGUGCGUAGGCGGGUCUUAAGUCAGGGGUGAAAUCCUGGAGCUCAACUCCAGAACUGCCUUUGAUACUGAAGAUCUUGAGUCCGGGAGAGGUGAGUGGAACUGCGAGUGUAGAGGUGAAAUUCGUAGAUAUUCGCAAGAACACCAGUGGCGAAGGCGGCUCACUGGCCCGGUACUGACGCUGAGGCACGAAAGCGUGGGGAGCAAACAGG
rnacentral:rRNA from 1 species